UACGUAGGGUGCAAGCGUUAUCCGGAAUUAUUGGGCGUAAAGAGCUCGUAGGCGGUUUGUCGCGUCUGCUGUGAAAUCCCGAGGCUCAACCUCGGGUCUGCAGUCGAUACGGGCGGACUUGAGUACUGCAGGGGAGACUGGAAUUCCUGGUGUAGCGGUGAAAUGCGCAGAUAUCAGGAGGAACACCGGUGGCGAAGGCGGGUCUCUGGGCAGUAACUGACGCUGAGGAGCGAAAGCGUGGGGAGCGAACAGG
rnacentral:rRNA from 1 species